rnacentral:tRNA from 1 species
AGCUUGAUAAGAACGGGACUGAACCCGCCUA